GGAAGUUCAUCUGUACUUCUUUCUGUCUUAGUUCUGGGCUCACCGGGGAGGCCAACUCCUUCUGGUCCUCUACAUCAGAGAGGGUUUUGAUGGUCUGAGGCAGCUUGGCUGAUUUCAUCAUCGCUGUGAAAGUGAUGAUUUCUGUUCGAUCCAGGCGGCUGCAGCCUGUGCACAGCCCCUUUAUCAGCAGAAUGAGGUGUUUCUGUGAGACAGCACACGCUUCGUCUGGGUUCUCCAGACGCAGAAGGGAGAACUCAAUCAGGACUUUACAUGCUGCUGCCACCGACUGCAAUUGGUUUCUGGGUAUGAGACCACACACAGUAGUGAUGUAAUGCGUUGAAAGUGCAACAAAGGAGGAGUAAAAAGGCUCGUAUUGUUUGUCGUGGUGCAAGAUUUCUGAUUCACUCUCGAUAACGGAGGCGAGCAGCUGCGGGAGCUCUUUCAUCUCGAAGGCCGAGUAGGAGGCGGAGAGCAGCGGCCGCACCGCCACCUCCCAGCCCGGCUCCGCCGCGCCGCCGCCCGCCGCCAUCUUGCCGCUGUGCUGCGCCGGGGGGGCGGCGGCGGCCGGGGGGUGGGGGGAGCGGGCCGGAAGCGCCCCCCCACUGCGAGCCGCGAG
rnacentral:lncRNA from 1 species